UUCUGCAUGGGUGUGGUGUCUGGGAGAGGAGACCUUGGGAAAGGGCUGCUGCUGUUACUGAGGUGCUGAAUCCCACAGGGGAAUGGUGCAGGGAAUAUAAGAUCUGUCUCCAUGUACCAGAUCCAAUAGGAAAAACCUCACCCUUCAUGCUCACAGAUGCACAGAUGUACUGCAGAGGAAGAAUGUAGCAGGUCUUGAACAGCAACAAAAACCAGGAAAAAGAUCUAUGGCAAGGGGGUUUACCUGAGAAUGAAUUAUUUUCUAUUACAUCA